rnacentral:rRNA from 1 species
UACGAAGGGUGCAAACGUUGCUCGGAAUCAUUGGGCGUAAAGCGCACGUAGGCGGCUUCGAAAGUCGGAUGUGAAAUCCCUCGGCUCAACCGAGGACGUGCAUCCGAAACUUCGAGGCUUGAGUACAGAAGAGGAUCGCGGAAUUCCCGGUGUAGAGGUGAAAUUCGUAGAUAUCGGGAGGAACACCAGUGGCGAAGGCGGCGAUCUGGGCUGAUACUGACGCUGAGGUGCGAAAGCGUGGGGAGCAAACAGG